GGGGCAGAAACAAGCCCGGGCAACAAAGCGGGAGCCGGAGAACACACGGGAGGAGGGGAAAGGACAGCGGCCCGGGACUGGCCGUGGUGGGAGCCAGCGCGACCAAGAGGAGAAGAGCCCGACCCCCGGAGCCGCUUCGGCUGAGUGAGGAGCCCAGAACAUGGUCUUCCAUCUCUCUGAGCCCUUCUUGGAAAACUCUGAGAAGUUGAUUUCCAGAAGUUCUUCAUCCAGGUGCUGCUGCUGCUUCUUGUGCUCCACCCGGCAGAGGUGGGAACACACCCAUCUGAUAUCAUCAUGAAGGAGUUAUAGAGCCAGUGUGGCUGGUGCUGAGUGAGCAAAGGAGUCGGACAGGCAAAGAAGUGUCCCGAAGAUCACCUGACAGACAGGAAAUAGUCAAAAAAAAAAACCCAGCAUUCUGGAAGGUUCUGAGAGCUGAUGUGAUAUGAUCUGCCUUACUUUCAAAAGAUUGAGAUGGGAGACAGUAGAGCCUUAAAGUGGGGAAAUCGACUGGACCCCAGAUCUAGUUAGUAGUGUGGCCUCCCUUCCCCCAGCCUGGAACCUGCCUGCUCAAGGGUGGAGC